UGGUGGAGUGAUUUGUCUGGUUAAUUCCGUUAACGAACGAGACCUCGGCCUACUAAAUAGUACGCUCUAUGGUGACAUAUGUGCGAGACUUCUUAGAGGGACACGUCGGGUUUACCGGCGGGAAGUUCGAGGCAAUAACA
rnacentral:rRNA from 1 species